UGUAUCUCUUCUCAGGUGACCCUUAUUAUUAGCCUGCUGGGAGCUUGCUAUUUUUAGAUAUCUUUUCAUGUAGAGGAAACAGGAAGCAGCUGUAAUUAAUAGAUCUGCAUUUAUAUACUCACUGCACUGGCCUUGAAGGGCUAGACUUUGCUAGCAGUUAGAGCAGUGUGGUUGCUUCUUGGUUAGUGUAGGUAUUUACAGAAGUAUCUGCAGCUGGUAUUUUGCUCCUCUGACCUUGAGGAACUGAGCUGCUGGCAUGGGAAGACCUGAAACUCACAGAACCCUCUUUAGGAUGUUGGGGCUGAACCUGUGCCAUCCUCCCUUACCAAGGCUCCUUCAGCCCCUGCCUCUGGGCUCCUCCUCCUUCCAGCAGCCUAAUUUUGGGAGAUGCUCAGCUGAGUGCACAACAAGGCUGUGAGACACUGGGACUUUAAAUCCAUACUUUGGGAGGCCUGAAAAUCACCUAGCUGGAGUGAAGAGACGGCAACAGGUCACCAAACGGGUGCAGCCAGCAGCAUCACUGCAGGAGGGGGGAGCCUGACCACCAAGCACAUCAGUUUUCACAGCAGUUUCUGACUUGGUGAGGCAUUCUAUCAAUAUCCUAAGGCUGAUCUUUAAGCAGCAGUUGGUUGAGUUGUAAUCCGUACAUCUGGAAACAGCUUGUGUAUCACAGAGAAUAUGUGCAGAGGAGGCUGCUCCUAUAUUUGUGUCCCAUGUGUUUGCUUUUAUUUGAUUUUGUAUUUGGGUGGGAAAGGAAAAGAGGAAAUUCUCUGACAUUUUCACAUGCUUUUUUUUUUUUUUUU
rnacentral:lncRNA from 1 species